rnacentral:rRNA from 1 species
UACAGAGGUCCCAAGCGUUGUUCGGAUUCACUGGGCGUAAAGGGUGCGUAGGUGGUGAGGUAAGUCGGAUGUGAAAGCUCGGAGCUCAACUCCGAAAUGGCAUUGGAAACUACCUUGCUAGAGGGUUGGAGGGGGGACUGGAAUGACUUGGUGUAGCAGUGAAAUGCGUAGAUAUCGAGAAGAACGCUCGUGGCGAAAGCGAGAUCCUGGGCAGCCUCUGACGCUGGAGGCACGAAGGCCAGGGGAGCAAACGGG